rnacentral:lncRNA from 1 species
AAGGAACGUGAAAGAAAAACGUUCGGUAAGCAACAGUCUUGGAGAUCACCGAGGGAAAAAGAAGCGCCUCUUUCACCUGAAACGUAGAGCCCAGAGCUCUGCUGUAAAUGUUUUGUGAUUCCUACCUUGGACGCUGCGCAAAUGCCAUGCUCACACUGUGUCAUAUAACAGCUUGUCCUCUGCACGAAAGUCAUUGGUGUCAAUUGCGAUGCAACCUUUAUAGAAUCGUGGCCCACUCGAUAUGGAUGUUUGAUGUUUGUCUUGCAAUGCCUUUCCAAAAAUGCGAUCGGCCUGCCUUCCCAAAUAUAAUUGCCAUCCC